AGCAGCCGCGGUAAUUCCAGCUCCAAUAGCGUAUAUUAAAGUUGUUGCAGUUAAAAAGCUCGUAGUUGAAUUUCGGGGUCAGUAGGCUGGUCGUGCCACCGGUACGUACUGGUCUCACUGAUUCCUCCUUCCUGAAGAACCGUAAUGCCAUUAAUUUGGUGUUGCGGGGAAACAGGACUGUUACUUUGAAAAAAUUAGAGUAGUUUAAAGCAAGCUAACGCUUGAAUACAUUGGCAUGGAAUAAUGAAAUAGGACGAUCGAUCCUAUUUUGUUGGUUUCUAGGAUUAACGUAAUGAUUAAUAGGGAUAGUUGGGGGCAUUAGUAUUCAAUUGUCAGAGGUGAAAUUCUUGGAUUUAUUGAAGACUAACUACUGCGAAAGCAUUUGCCAAGGAUGUUUUCAUUAAUCAAGAACGAAAGUUAGGGGAUCGAAGACGAUCAGAUACCGUCGUAGUCUUAACCAUAAACUAUGCCGACUAGGGAUCGGAUGAUGUUAAUUUUAUAAUGACUCAUUCGGCGCCUUACGGGAAACCU
rnacentral:rRNA from 1 species